CGCGCGUGGCGCAGUGGGUUGAGUUUUGGCGUUCCACCCCGAGGGUCGGGGGUUCGAUUCCCCUGCGUGG
rnacentral:tRNA from 1 species